rnacentral:lncRNA from 1 species
CUGUCCAUAAUGAUGAGAACAAAUGAAUUUCCAUUAAAUCGUCACAAUUGUUACAGAAACAUGCCUCACAUCAAAUUUCUGCACACCAACCUAAGUUGUGAUACAAAACCAAGCUUCAAAACGUUAGACAUGUGAGGCCCAUGUGAAGAUUUCAUGGAGAUUUGGAUGGUUUUCAACAAUGGGACAGAUUGUGCGACUUCAAUGAACUGUUGAGGACCAACUUGUACCUGUUUGGGAUCAAUAGUGCAAUAUUUUCCACUGAGAACAGAAAUUGUAGUUUGCGUCCUCUUUUGCUUCUGUAUCACGUCCCUGUGAUUUGACAUGCAUUUGCUGCUUCUGUCACCUGUUCUUUUGUUCCCCCUUUUUCAUAGUUGGAAAGCACUGAAUACUUUCACCUAGAAGUUAUUAACAAAUAGCAUUUUAUGGUGAACACACUCUUAUGUGAAACAAUAGCACUUUGGGAUGUCAGAAAAUUUUAAUAUGGAUAUUUGAAUGCUUUCUCAAUGUGCUUUGUUUCACUUGAGUGAAUGAUUUUGGAUCUUGUUCAAAGUAUCCUUUCUUUGCAGUCAGAAUGCUUGAUGAGGUUUUAAGGACAUGUUAUUUCUUUACUUGUGUGAAGAACUGAAGUAUUAUUCUUCUUCAUAAUCAUAAUAAUAAUGCUGUACAAUCAUUGAAUUUAUAUACUUACAGAGAACAAAUAAAAUAGGAAACUAUCCUAAAUUAAAUCCCCUUAAUUAAGGGAUUGUGAUAUUCCUUUAAUUAAGGGAUUAUGAUAUCUCCUAAAUUACGAGAUUGUAUACCAUUAAUACAAUGAUUCCCUGAUUUCCUUAUUGGGCAGAUUUUCCCACACUCCUCAAGCUGGUGAAUGAAUGUUAUCCAUUCCAAGCUUGCUAAUCAUCUUUUGAAACAUCAUACCAGUUAGUCCCUUGGUGAGCACAUUCGCAACUUGUCCAUCUGUAGAAACAAAAGGAGUAUAAAUCAGACCACUAUCUAGUUUUUCCUUUAUGAAGUGUCUGUCAACUUCAAUGUGUUUGGUGCGAUCAUGUUGUACAGGGUUAUGUGCUAUGUUGAUGGCUGACUUGUUGUCGCAAUAGAGUUUCAUUGGUUUUUCCCAUUCUACCUUUAAAUAUGCUAGAAUGAUCUUGAGCCACAAUAUUUCACAAAUCCCUAAAGCCAUUGCUCUAAAUUCUGCCUCUACAUUAGACUUUGCUACAACAUUCUGCUUCUUGUUUCUCCACGUCACAAGAUUUUCGGCAAGAAAGGUGCAAUAACCUAGUGUUGAUCUUCGGUCAACUGGUGACCCUGCAUAGUCAGAAUCUGUGUAGGCUUCAAGAUUCAAUUUUUCUCCUUUCUUAAAAAGAAUUCCUUUUCCCGAAGUUCCCUUAAUGUACUGUAAGAUUCUAUUGACCGCUUGAAGGUGUACCUUUUUUGGAUUGUGCAUAAAUUGACUUACAACACUAACUACAUAGGCAAUGUCAGGUCUGGUGUGUGACAGGUAGAUAAGUUUCCCUACCAAUCUUUGAUAAUCACUUUUCUCAAUUAGGGCAUCCUCAGGAGCUUCUCCGAGUUUGUGAUUGAAUUCUAUUGGAGUCUCAACAGGCUUACACCCUAGCUUUCCUGUUUCCUUCAGCAAAUUCAUCACAUGUUUCUGUUGUGAAAUAAAGAUCCCAUGCUGUGAGUGAGCAACUUCAAUCCCAAGAAAGUAUUUCAACCUACCUAGCUCUUUUAUUUCAAACACCUCCUUAAAGCUUCUUUCCCUUUCAUGUCAUUUUUAGUUACCACAAUGUCAUCGACAUAUACUAACAAGGUAGUUACUUCCCCUGACACUGAGUACUUGACAAAUAGAGUAUGAUCUCCUUGGCUUUGUUUAUACCCUAUUGCUAACAUAACUUUAGUGAAUCGCCUAAACCAAGCUCGAGGGGAUUGUUUUAGACCACAUAGGGCUUUCUUUAGUCUGCACACCUUUUUUCCUUGUAGAUUUGAACCAAAGCCAGGAGGAAUUUUCAUGUAGAUUUCUUCAUCAAGAUCUCUAUGUAGAAAUGCAUUCUUGACAUCAUAUUGUUGUAGACUCCACCCAAGGUUAGCUGCUAAGGAUAACAAUAUUCUUACCAUAUUUAUUUUUGCAAUAGGAGCAAAAGCUUCUAGAUAAUUAACUCCAUAAGUUUGAGUAUAUCCCUUAGCUACCAACCUGGCUUUAUAUCUCUCAAGCGAUCCAUCUGCUUUAUACUUAAUAGUGAACACCCAUUUACAUCCUAUUGGUCUCUUUCCUUUGGGUUGUUCCACUAAUUCCUAAGUGUUAUUUUUCUCAAGACCUUCCAUUUCAACUCUCAUAGCAUCUCUCCAUUCCUUAUGACCUAAGGCCUCAAGCAUAGUUUUGGGAAUGAUUAUAGUGUUUAGAUGUGUAAGAAAGGUUUUAUGAUUACGUGAUAAUUUCUCAUAUGACACAAAGUGAGAUAAUGGAUAUAGUGAAUUUUGGGUGCAUUUUCUUGUGCCUUUCCUAAGAGCAAUGGGAAGAUUAUCACUAGCAUCAUGAGAGUUAGAAGUAAUUACCUCAUUCGCAGGAGUAGGUUCAGAAUCUUGAAUUUGCAUAGGUUGAACGAUGGGUACCUUCUUCCUUGAAUAAACCAACAAUGGGCAAGUAGAAAUUUGAACCUGAUUAUCUUUUUCCAAAGUUUGUGUUUCUGAUGUAGGAGUACAAGGUGACUCGGAUUUAGUAGAAAUAGGGGCUGAAACAGAGUUUGGAUUUCUAGAUCUUUGAGGGAUUGGAGGAGAAUAUGAAGGAAUAGGAGAAUCAAGUUCUUGUAAAAAUAAGUCAUUGUCCUUAUCUUCCAUAGAUGUUCUCUCUCCCUGAAGAUAAGGUUGGGGAAAAUAACUAUCUCUUUCAACAAAUGUUACAUUGGCUGACACAUAGAAGUUUCGAGUUGGAGGAUGAUAACACUUGUGUCCUUUUUGAGUAGAUGAGUAUCCUAUAAAAAUACACUUAAGUGCUCAUGGAUCUAACUUUCCCCUGUUAUGAGAGUGUAUAUGGACAGAAGAUACACAGCCAAAGGUUUUUGGGACAAGAUUGUUUGUGGUAUUGAAGUUGUAAAAAUGCUUGGUCAGAACUUGCAUGGGACUUUUGAAACCAAGGACACGAGAGGGCAACCUGUUUAUAAGAUGGGCAGCAGUUAGAACACCUUCGUCCCAAUAAUUUUUCGGAAUGUGUUUUUGAAAUAGAAGGGCUCGGGUAGUGGCUAACAAGUGGCCAUUUUUUCUUUCGGCCACCCCAUAUUGUUGGGGGUAUUGAUACAAGAUAACUCAUGUAUUAUUCCCUCCUUCUGGAAAAAAUGUGAUAGAACUUGAUUGAAGGAAUCUUUAGCAUUGUCUGAUCUGAAUUUUUUUAUCUUGACCCCAAAUUGAAUUUUUACCAUACUAUGAAAUGUGGAAAAUACUGAACUUACAUCAGACUUAUUCUUUAGGAGAAAAAUCCAUGACACACGAGUACAAUCAUCAAUAAAUGAAACAAACCAACGAGCUCCAGAUAUAGUAGGAACAUUAGAAGGCCCCCAGAUAUCACUAUGGAUGAGUGAAAAAGGAACUGAUGUUAUUUUAUUGCUUACAGGAAAGGAAGCACGUUUGUGCUUUGCAAUUUCACAAAUAUUACAAUGAAGACGUUUCUCAUCAAUUCCUUUAAAUAACAAUGGGAACAUAACUUUAAGGAUGCUAAAUGAGGGAUGUCCUAGACGAAGAUGAUAAAGCCAAAUUUUGUCUUCAUUUGAAGUUAAAAAUUCAGAAAACAGUGAUAAAGAUAAGCUAUUCUUAGUUUCAUUUUGCCUGCUUGAUUCUUCAAGAUAAUAAAGUCCAUCUUUCUCCCUAGCAAGUCCAAUCAUCUUCCCCGUUACCUGGUCCUGAAAAACACAAUUUGAGGGAAAGAAAGUUACAGUACAAUUUAAAUCUUUUGUGAGCCUUUGUAUGGACAAGAGAUCAGUGGAUAAUUUUGGAACAUGAAGAACAUUAACAAGUUUCAAAUUUUGGUUUAUUAAAAUACUUUCUUGGCCCGUAACUGCGAUUAAUAUGCCAUCUGCUGUGGCUAUUUUCUUAUUGCUAGGACAUGGAUUAUAAGAGGUAAAUUUGUGUGAUGAAUGGGUCAUAUGAUCUGUAGCCCCUGAAUCAAUGACCUAGGAAUCUGGAAAAGAGGUUAUGCUUGAGACACUAAGGACACGGGGGAGAGGAUGCUUACCUGAGAGUGCUAAAGAACAAGCACCUGAAGUAGCAGACUUUCCCAAGGACCCCAACAAAUUCCUCAGUUUUUGUAUCUCACUUUGACUGAAGUCACUUUGCUCUUGUGGCAUGUCCUCCUCCCCAGGUUGUGAGUAAGUCAUAUGAGCCUGCCCUCUUUGUUGUCCAUCCUUCAUGGUCCAAUUUUUGUUUGACAAUUUCGGCUUUCCAUGAAGCUUCCAACAUCGUUCUAUCCUGUGCCGAGGCCUUCUACAGUAUGUACACCUUAAUUCAUCUUUGUUUGUUGCUUAAGACAUGUUCAAUUCCUCAUUCAUGCUCACGGUUGGUUGGUUUGGACUGGGUUUUUUAAAACCAGUCAUUUUUGAGACCAUAGCUGACACUUCGACGGCCUGUGGUUCCACCAUUACUCCCCUCCGUCCUUCUUCUGCUCUGAUUACCGCAAUAGUCUCAUUUAAUGAGGGCAAAUCAUCCUUUCCAAGAAUUUGGACUCUGACUGGAUCAAACACCAUAUUUAGUCCUGCAAGGAAAUCAUAAAUCCUGUCAUUUUCUUCCAGUCUUUUCACCAUGGCUGCAUCAUCACUGCAUUUCAGUUUAAUACAUUGAUAAUGGUCCAUUUCUUGACACAGAUUUUUCAUGAGAUUGGCAUAUUCUGUGAUAGUACGUUCUCCUUGCUUGGUGGCUGAAAUUUUAAUCUUGAUUUCAUAUAUCUGAGCAGCAUCAUGAACCUUGGAAUAGGUUUGUCCAACGGCAUCCCAAAUCUCCUUUGCAGUGGUUAGGAACAUACAUGAAUUGCUGAUCUCCGGUAGCAUUGGGUUCCAUAGCCAUGUCAUCACCAUAGAGUCCGCCUCAUCCCAAGCAUCAAAUCCAGGAUUUCCUGCUAUAGGCCCUGCACCAAGCGACUCAACAUGCCUUUCCUUUUCAAGAACGUUCUAACCAGCUGUGACCAUUUUAGGUAAUUCUUUCCAUUCAAUUUAUAUGCUGCUUGCAGAUUCUGUAACUCUCCUAAAGAUGAAGCAGGUUUUGUUUCCACAGUCUGCGUCUCAGAGGAGUUAGUGCUGUCAAUGAUUUCUGCCAUGGCCAUUGUGAAGAUCAAGAAAGAGCUGUGGUUAAAUCAAGAACGAGAGUGGCCAAAGGAAGAACAAAGAACUUAAGAUUUUCAAAAUGAUUUAGAGAGAACGAAAAAAAAUCAGCAAUAAAGGCUGAACAAAAUACUGGGCAAUGAAGGCCAACAAGUGAAAAAACAGAGGGUAAUUCCCAGAAGCUUAAAGCUCUGAUACCAUGUGAAGAAUUGAAGUAUUAUUCUUCUUCGUAAUCAUAAUAAUAAUGCUAUACAAUCAUUGAAUUUAUAUACUUACAGAGAACAAAUAAAAUAGAAAACUAUCCUAACAUAAAUCCCCUUAAUUAAGGGAUUGUGAUAUUCCUUUAAUUAAGGGAUUGUGAUAUCUCCUAAAUUACGGGAUUGUAUACCAUUAAUACAAUAAUUCCCUGAUUUCCUUAUUGGGCAGAUUUUCCCACUUGCAUAAGAAAAGUUAUUUAUUUUGACAGUGAAGGGUCACUUUCAAAUAAAGUUAUUCAUUUUUAGCUUUGACGUACAACUUAUUUUUUACUAGUAAACUUACUCCUAAGUAAUAAUUUAGCUUAGCCGAAUAUGACCUAAUAGAUUUUACUUAUAC